rnacentral:rRNA from 1 species
AGAGUUUGAUCAUGGCUCAGGACGAACGCUGGCGGCGUGCUUAACACAUGCAAGUCGAACGGAGGAUUUAUUUCGGUAAAUCCUUAGUGGCGAACGGGUGAGUAACGCGUGGGCAAUCUGCCCUUCAGAUGGGGACAACAUCCCGAAAGGGGUGCUAAUACCGAAUACGAUCACGCUGCCGCAUGGCGGUGUGAUGAAAGAUGGCCUCUAUUUAUAAGCUAUCGCUGAAGGAUGAGCCUGCGUCUGAUUAGCUAGUUGGUGGGGUAACGGCCUACCAAGGCGAUGAUCAGUAGCCGGUCUGAGAGGAUGAACGGCCACAUUGGGACUGAGACACGGCCCAAACUCCUACGGGAGGCAGCAGUGGGGAAUAUUCCGCAAUGGACGAAAGUCUGACGGAGCAACGCCGCGUGAGUGAUGAAGGUUUUCGGACUGUAAAGCUCUGUUGUUUAGGACGAAAGUGCCUGUUGCGAACAGUUACAGGUAUUGACGGUACUGAACGAGGAAGCCACGGCUAACUACGUGCCAGCAGCCGCGGUAAUACGUAGGUGGCAAGCGUUGUCCGGAAUUAUUGGGC